rnacentral:tRNA from 1 species
CGGGGCGUAGCGCAGCCCGGUCAGCGCGCCUGCUUUGGGAGCAGGAGGUCGUGAGUUCGAAUCUCACCGCCCCGA